rnacentral:rRNA from 1 species
GUGCGUCCGAACCUUGAGAACUCAACAGCGUACUUGAAAGUCAGUGCCAAAUUAUUUAACCCCUGGUGCUGGACCUGUUUUCUUGUUGUGCCUCCUGUGUGGGGUGUGGUGAGUGGUCUAGUUGAUGGGAUUCCUUUGGUAUAUAUGCGAUACGCCAGUAUCGCGUACAUGCCAGUAUCAAUAUGGCCCGACACGCCUACUGCCGCGUAAACAUUUUGUGUUUGGGUGGCGGGUGGUUGGUGGGGUUUCUUCAUGUAUGUCACUGAACCCGGCCCCUGUGGGGUUGGUUUGGUAAUAAUCAUUCACGGAGAGUUUGAUCCUGGCUCAGGACGAACGCUGGCGGCGUGCUUAACACAUGCAAGUCGAACGAUGACCCGGAGCUUGCUCUGGUGAUUAGUGGCGAACGGGUGAGUAACACGUGGGCAACCUGCCCCUAGCUCUGGGAUAACUGCGGGAAACUGUAGCUAAUACCGGAUGUGACACGAGACUGCAUGGUCUUUGUGUGGAAAGAUUUUUCGGCUAGGGAUGGGCCCGCGGUCUAUCAGCUUGUUGGUGGGGUAAUGGCUCACCAAGGCGACGACGGAUAACCGGCCUGAGAGGGCGACCGGUCACACUGGGACUGAGACACGGCCCAGACUCCUACGGGAGGCAGCAGUGGGGAAUAUUGCACAAUGGGCGCAAGCCUGAUGCAGCGACGCCGCGUGAGGGAUGACGGCCUUCGGGUUGUAAACCUCUUUCAGUUCCGACGAAGCGAAAGUGACGGUAGGAGCAGAAGAAGCGCCGGCCAACUACGUGCCAGCAGCCGCGGUAAUACGUAGGGCGCAAGCGUUGUCCGGAAUUAUUGGGCGUAAAGAGCUCGUAGGCGGUUUGUUACGUCGGCUGUGAAAUCCCGAGGCUUAACCUCGGGCUUGCAGUCGAUACGGGCAGACUAGAGUGGAGCAGGGGAGACUGGAAUUCCUGGUGUAGCGGUGAAAUGCGCAGAUAUCAGGAGGAACACCGAUGGCGAAGGCAGGUCUCUGGGCUUUAACUGACGCUGAGGAGCGAAAGCGUGGGUAGCGAACAGGAUUAGAUACCCUGGUAGUCCACGCCGUAAACGGUGGGCGCUAGGUGUGGGGACCAUUCCACGGUUUCCGUGCCGCAGCUAACGCAUUAAGCGCCCCGCCUGGGGAGUACGGCCGCAAGGCUAAAACUCAAAGGAAUUGACGGGGGCCCGCACAAGCGGCGGAGUAUGUUGCUUAAUUCGAUGCAACGCGAAGAACCUUACCAAGGCUUGACAUAUACCGAAAACUCGUAGAGAUACGGGGUCCGUAAGGGCGGUAUACAGGUGGUGCAUGGUUGUCGUCAGCUCGUGUCGUGAGAUGUUGGGUUAAGUCCCGCAACGAGCGCAACCCUCGUUCUAUGUUGCCAGCACGUUAUGGUGGGGACUCAUAGGAGACCGCCGGGGUCAACUCGGAGGAAGGUGGGGAUGACGUCAAAUCAUCAUGCCCCUUAUGUCUUGGGCUGCAAACAUACUACAAUGGCCGGUACAAAGGGCUGCGAUACCGCAAGGUGGAGCGAAUCCCAAAAAGCCGGUCUCAGUUCGGAUUGGGGUCUGCAACUCGACCCCAUGAAGUCGGAGUCGCUAGUAAUCGCAGAUCAGCAACGCUGCGGUGAAUACGUUCCCGGGCCUUGUACACACCGCCCGUCAAGUCACGAAAGUCGGUAACACCCGAAGCCGGUGGCCUAACCCCCUUGUGGGGAGGGAGCUGUCGAAGGUGGGACUGGCGAUUGGGACUAAGUCGUAACAAGGUAGCCGUACCGGAAGGUGCGGCUGGAUCACCUCCUUUCU